UUGGAGGGCAAGUCUGGUGCCCGCAGCCGCAGUAAUUCCAGCUCUAAUAGCGUAUAUUAAAGUUGUUGCUGUUAAAAAGCUCGUAGUUGAAUUUCGGGAUCAAUAUGUCGGUCGUGCCUCCGGUACGUACUGGCGUCAUUGGUUUCUCCCUUCUGAUGAACCACGAUGUCAUUAAUUUGGUGUCAUGGGGAAUCAGGACUGUUACUUUGAAAAAAUUAGAGUGUUUAAAGCAGGCUCACGCUUGAAUACAUUAGCAUGGAAUAAUGAAAUAGGACGUUUGAUUCUAUUUUGUUGGUUUCUAGGAUCGACGUAAUGAUUAAUAGGGAUAGUUGGGGGCAUUAGUAUUCAAUUGUCAGAGGUGAAAUUCUUGGAUUUACUGAAGACUAACUACUGCGAAAGCAUUUGCCAAGGAUGUUUUCAUUAAUCAGGAACGGAAGUUAGGGGAUCGAAGACGAUCAGAUACCGUCGUAGUCUUAACCAUAAACUAUGCCGACUAGGGAUCGGACGAUGUUAUUUUUUGACUCGUUCGGCACCUUACGGGAAAC
rnacentral:rRNA from 1 species